CCUCCUUCACAUAAGCCCCGCCCCACCGUUAAGCCGCAGACCAUGCUGCUGCUGGAAAGGCAAGAAGAUGGCUGUUUGACCCCCAGCAACAGGUAGGCUUGAUAUGCUCAGGUGUGUGUGUGUGUCUGUGUCUGUCUGUCUGCUAGUGAGGAAGCUUGUGUGUGUGUGUAUGGACUCAGCAGUGUGUGUGUGUUUAUGAACUCAGCAGUGUGUGUGUGUAUGGACUCAGCAGUGUGUGUGUGUGUGUAUGAACUCAGCAGUGUGUGUGUGUGUGUGUGUGUGUAUGGACUCAGCAGUCUGUGUGUGUGUAUGGACUCAGCACUGUGUGUGUAAGGACUCAGUGUGUGUGUAUGGACUCAGCAGUCUGUGUGUGUGUAUGGAUGGACUCAGCAGUGUGUGUGUGUGUGUGUGUGUAUGGACCCAGCAGUGUGUGUGUGUAUGGAAUGGACUCAGCAGUCUGAAGCAGUCUGUGUGUGUGUAUGUGUGUGUGUGUGUGUAUGGAUUCAGCACUGUGUGUGUAAGGACUCAGCAGUCUGUGUGUGUGUGUGUAUGGACUCAGCAGUCUGUGUGUGUGUGUGUAUGGACUCAGCAGUGUGUGUGUAUGGACUCAGCAGUCUGUGUGUGUGUAUGGACUCAGCAGUCUGUGUGUGUGUGUGUGUGUGUGUGGACUCAGCAGUCUGUGUGUGUAUGGACUCAGCAGUCAGUCCGUGUGUGUGUGUAUGGACUCAGCACUGUGUGUGUAAGGACUCAGCUGGCUGUGUGUGUGUAUGGACUCACCAGUCUGUGUGUGGGUGUAUGGACUCAGCAGUGUGUGUGUGUAUGGACUAGCAGUCUGUGUCUGUGUGUGGACUCAGCAGUCUGUGUGUGGACUCAGCAGUCUGUGUGUGUGUAUGGUCUCAGCAGUCUGUGUGUGUGUGUAUGUAUGGACUCAGCAGUCUGUCUGUGUGUAUGGACUCAGCAGUGUGUGUAUGGAUUCAGCAGUCUGUCUGUGUGUAUGGACUCAGCAGUGUGUGUGUGUAUGAACUCAGCAGUGUGUGUGUAUGGACUCAGCAGUCUGUAUGUGUGUAUGAACUCAGCAGUGUGUGUGUAUGGACUCAGCAGUGUGUGUGUAUGAACUCAGCACUGUGUGUGUAUGGACUCAGCAGUCUGUCUGUGUGUAUGGACUCAGCACUGUAUGUGUAUGGACUCAGCAGUCUGUCUGUGUGUAUGGACUCGGCAGUGUGUGUGUAUGAACUCAGCAGCCUGUCUGUGUGUAUGGACUCAGCAGUCUGUCUGUGUGUAUGAACUCAGCAGUAUGUGUGUAUUGACUCAGCAGUCUGUCUGUGUGCAUGGACUCAGCAGUGUGUGUGUAUGGACUCAGCAGUCUGUCUGUGUGUAUGGACUCAGCAGUUUGUGUUUGUGUGUGUGUGUGUGUGUGUAUAGACUCAGCAGUCUGUGUGUUUUUGUGUGUAUGUGUGUAUGGACUCAGCAGUGUGUGUGCAUGGACUCAGCACUGUGUGUAUAUGGACUCAGCAGUCUUCCUGUGUGUAUGGACUCAGCAGUGUGUGUGUAUUGCCUCAGCAGUGUGUGUGUAUGAACUCAGCAGUGUGUCUGUGUGUAUGGACUCAGCAGUCUGUGUGUAUGGACUCAGCAGUCUGUGUGUUUGUGUGUGU